GAUGAAGAACGUAGCGAAAUGCGAUAAGUAGUGUGAAUUGCAGAAUUCAGUGAAUCAUCGAAUCUUUGAACGCACAUUGCGCCCCUUGGUAUUCCAUGGGGCAUGCCUGUUCGAGCGUCAUUUGAACCCUCAAGCUCUGCUUGGUGUUGGGUGUUUGUCCCGCCAUUGCGCGUGGACUCGCCUUAAAGCAAUUGGCAGCCAUGUAAUCCGGCUUUGAGCGCAGCACAUUGCGUACUCUCUACUGGGACAUGGGCAUCCAGAAGCCUUAUUAUUUUUACUCUUGACCUCGGAUCAGGUAGGGAUACCCGCUGAACUUAAGCAUAUCAAUAAGCGGAGGA
rnacentral:misc_RNA from 1 species